AUAUGAGAAAAUCUAACAUUCAUAAUGAUCAAACGCCAUUGCCAAUGCAUAUAUGAUGUAUCCCAAUUAAAAGUAGCAUAUAUACAUAACAAAAUGUGUAAAUCACAUUCUCACUUCGAUUCUUUUAGCUCUUUUGUGUUAAUUUCCUUUAUUCCCGUAAGCUGAGCAAUAUGGCAGAAAAAGAUACAUCAGAUUUCUUUUUAGAAUGCUUCUUCACAUUAUGAAUCCUAGAUAAGAUGCAACAUGACAAUUUUGUUAGCAGUGAUUUUCACACUUGAACGAAUAUCAACAGAAUCUGAGUAUUAGAGUAGGAAGAGGUGAAAAUCAGAUACUAGCCACAGGAAAUAGAAAAAAAUAUAUAUAUUGAAUCAAGCAAAGGAGAUUUUAGGUUUUAAGAAGGUUCUUUAUUUCUCAAGUUUGAAGACCAGAAAUGUGUUGAGAAAUUCGAUGGUAAUUGUCAAGUGUAAAUGAUAACUCUUAGCAUUUUGAUUUAUGUUCUGUGCUCAUCUUUGAGUCACUGUACAACCUCCUACCAGUUAUUUUCUAUUCAUUCAUUCUACUUUGAGAACAAUCUUCAUAAACUCAUAGACGAAGUAACUUGUUGCUGCUGAGGGAAGAACCUGCAGUAAGCUGGGAAUGAGUCCUGCAUACAGAGCUGGAAUUCCACCUUGCUCAACGAUCUUGACACAGGUUGCCAGUGCACUCAUCUUAGUAGAUCGAACUUGCAGUUGAAGUUAUCUCCUCACAACUUCAAAUGGGUAAGUAGAAGCUUCUGCACAAGCGCCGGCAACUGCCCCAUACAGCAAUGUCCUGAUUGGUACCAACUCUAGCUGGUCCAAAGCAUUCAAUUCCUGCCCAUGUUGACUCAUAUUUUCUAUUCUUUUCCUGCCUUCAGGUGAAUGCAGAUAAGCAGACUUCAAUAUAUCAUAUACACCAUAGAAAACUGCCCCUGAAGGUGCCAUGCUUAUGAUGGAAGGCACUAAGCCCUUGUAAAGGGAAAAGAAACCUUCAGUUCGGAUCAUGUGGUGAAAAGCACCAAUCACCCCACCCAAAGCUUCCCCACCAGGUGCAACAAUUUUGGUCUGGAUCUGCAAGAUACAUCAAUUGAAGUGUGAUUUAGAAUUCAGUGAUGAUCUUGGGCAAAAACAAUGCAAGGAAUAAAACACAGCAAAUGUGAACCAUUUGAUUACCCAAAUGCACUUUCAAUGAUCCAAGCUUCUACUGAACUCAAUUAAGCCCCAGUUCCAAAUUUCUAAUUUAGUUAGGGAAGGCUACUUGGAUACUUUGCUACUAUAUUAUGUUUUUUAAGCUUUCUGCACGUUGGUGUGAUGCUGAACCAAAUUACUCCAAACACUUCAAAAUAAAAAGCCUAACUAAAAAUAUUGGAUUCCCUUAUUUCUUUCUUCAAAUCACAAACAAAGCAGCAAAAGUUCUUCCUACAACUAAAUAGUUGUUUUUUAUUAUCUGCUGUACCAUUUCCAAACAGAUAACUCAUAGUCGCCAAGUUGCCCAUUCACAUUCAAAUCAUAGAUAGUCAGCAGCAAACAUAAAAUUUAAAACAAGCCUAUAAAGAUAACCGGAGCAUACAACAACCCAAACUAAUUUCCAUGUUAGUAAUCUGCCAUAUACCAUUCGAGAUCUAUGCGGUCCAAUAAAACACUCAAUGUUGAGUUACAUCGUUGAUUGUCCAUAAUAUACAGCGAAGUGGUUUUAUGUUGAUUUCUUAGUAUAAUACCAUGUUUACAUUACACACAAAGUCAUAUAAAGUAUUUGUAUAUCUGCCACAACAUACAAGAAAAUGAAUUUGGGAAAUCAACAAAUGGAAACAAGCAAGUAAAACAAAAGAAACAAUGUCCAACUUCCCUAUUCACUAUGAACUGUUUCAGUUGCAAACAUGAUAACUUUGUUUAAUGUUUAUGGCAUUUUCGUACCAUAUUUUAUUGUACAUAUGUACUUCAUUGCCUCAAAAACAUAAGAAAAACACAUAAAUGAUAAAGAUAAUUAUCUCCGACAUGCUGACACAGAAAAUCCUUUAGAACUAGAUAAUUUUGACAACCAGAUGCAAAUAAAAUCAAGAACACAGGCCCCGUUCGUUCUAAAUUCUAUAAUAUCAGUAGUAAAAUCAGUGGUGGAAGUGAGUGGAGAAAAAGGGGUCCAUUGACUCCUUAUAAAUUUAAUUAUUAAUCAUCUUUUUGGUAAAAGUUAAAAAUAAAGAGGGAGAUGUUUUUAAUAGCAUUAAUAAUGAUAUAAUUCUUGAUAGUUAUCAGGGCAUUAGACAUUGUUGAGUCCAAUUGUAAGAUACUAAUAUUUUAUUUUUGACAUUUU
rnacentral:misc_RNA from 1 species